GCGAACGGGGAACAGCUCACGGCCGAAUCCGCCACCGAGGGGUGGCGGAAAUGUGGCGUAUGGGAGGCGGAGUCCUCCGAGCGCGACCGACGGUACAAGUCCCCAUGAGAGGGGCAUGUUACCCGUAGACGGUGCUAGGCCCGUGCCGCCGUCGGCCCGCGCGCGGAGUUGCCGUCUUCCCGGGAGUCGGGUUGCUUGGGAGUGCAGCCCAAAGUGGGUGGUAAACUCCACCUAAGGCUAAAUACGACCGGGAGACCGAUAGCGAACAAGUACCGUGAGGGAAAGUUGAAAAGCACUUUGAAGAGAGAGUUCAAGAGUACGUGAAACCGUUUGGAGGUAAACGGGUGGGACCUCGAAGUCCGAAGGCGGUGGUGGAUUCAGCCUGGAYGGGAGCGGGUCUCCGAUCUAGGGGGAGUGCCUCGUGACCGAGGCUUCUUCUAGGUUCGGCUGGCCACGUCCCGGCGCACUUCCACGCCCCGUCCGUUAGGACGUCGCGACCGGUUGGGARGCCGUCGUAAGGCCGUGGUCGAAAGGUGGCGGCACGCUUCUCUCGAGAGGCGUUCCGUGUUACAGGCGGCCGGCGUGCCUGGGAGGCUGCCCGACCGUGGUGCUGGUUUGUUCCCCUCCUAGACAGGGAGCGACCURGGUCCUUUGGAUUCUCUCGGGUUCGGUGACACCAGCGAUGGUGAGCAGGACCGCGGGUUUCCGAGGAGGCUUGGGGUUYGCGGGGAAUGGAAGGUCGCGGCGAGUAGGUCGGUUACCCACCCGACCCGUCUUGAAACACGGACCAAGGAGUCUAACGCGUGUGCGAGUUCCCGGGACUUGAACAGGCCCGAGGGCGCAAUGAAGGUGAAGGGCAAUGUUAGUUGCCUGGGUUGGGAUCCCGUCCUCUUUUUUAAGCGGGGCGGGCGCACCAACGGCCCGUCCGAAACCGUUCUCGGUUGGGCGGAGCGAGAGCAUACGCUCUGGGACCCGAAAGAUGGUGAACUAUGCCUGGGCAGGACGAAGCCAGAGGAAACUCUGGUGGAGGUCCGCAGCGAUUCUGACGUGCAAAUCGAU
rnacentral:rRNA from 1 species